rnacentral:rRNA from 1 species
GUAGGUGGCAAGCGUUGUCCGGAAUUAUUGGGGCGUAAAGCGCGCGCAGGCGGUUCUUUAAGUCUGAUGUGAAAGCCCACGGGCUCAACCGUGGGAGGGUCAUUGGAAACUGGAGAACUUGAGUACAGAAGAGGAAAGCGGAAUUCCACGUGUAGCGGUGAAAUGCGUAGAGAUGUGGAGGAACACCAGUGGCGAAGGCGGCUUUCUGGUCUGUAACUGACGCUGAGGCGCGAAAGCGUGGGGAGCAAACAGGAUUAGAUACCCUGGUAGUCCACGCCGUAAACGAUGAGUGCUAAGUGUUAGGGGGUUUCCGCCCCUCAGUGCUGCAGCUAACGCAUUAAGCACUCCGCCUGGGGAGUACGGCCGCAAAGGCUGA